GGUUUUGGUGCUGAGCGUGAUAUUGGAGAUAGGGGUGCAAUUUCAGGAACUGUCUCACCAGAGGUUGAUAUCCCCUCACUCAAGAGCUAUGACGAGGAACAGCGCCAUGAGAAUUUUCGUAGAAACAUUCAUCAAUGCUGCAUCUGUUUCAAUGAACUUCCUGGUAUGGAGUUUGUGAGGUUGCCGUGUCAGCACUUUUUUUGCUGGAAUUGCAUGAAAACUUACUCCGAUAUGCAUGUCAAGGAAGGUACAAUUACCAAGCUUUUGUGCCCCGAGGCAAAAUGUGGAGGUAUGAUUCCUCCAGGUUUGCUAAAGCGGUUACUUGGUGAAGUGGAGUUUGAGCGCUGGGAAUCAAUGAUGUUACAGAAAACAUUAGAAUCAAU
rnacentral:misc_RNA from 1 species